rnacentral:rRNA from 1 species
UUGGGGUUGUAGGACACUCUAUACGGAGUUACAAAGGAAUAAAUUAGACGAAUCACCUGGAAAGUUGAACCAGAGAAGGUAAAAGUCCUGUAGUCGAAAGUUUAUUCUCUCUUGAGUGGAUCCUGAGUACGACGGAGCACGUGGAAUUCCGUCGGAAUCCGGGAGGACCAUCUCCCAAGGCUAAAUACUCUCUAGNNNNNNNNNNNNNNNNNNNNGACCGAUAGUGAACCAGUACCGUGAGGGAAAGGUGAAAAGUACCCCGGAAGGGGAGUGAAAGAGAACUUGAAACCGUGUGCUUACAAGUAGUCAGAGCCCGUUAAUGGGUGAUGGCGUGCCUUUUGUAGAAUGAACCGGCGAGUUACGAUCUGAUGCAAGGUUAAGCAGCAAAUGCGGAGCCGCAGCGAAAGCGAGUCUGAACAGGGCGUUGAGUAUUUGGUCGUAGACCCGAAACCAGGUGAUCUACCCUUGGUCAGGUUGAAGUUCAGGUAACACUGAAUGGAGGACCGAACCGACUUACGUUGAAAAGUGAGCGGAUGAACUGAGGGUAGCGGAGAAAUUCCAAUCGAACCUGGAGAUAGCUGGUUCUCUCCGAAAUAGCUUUAGGGCUAGCCUCAAGUGAUGAUUGUUGGAGGUAGAGCACUGUUUGGACGAGGGGCCCCUCUCGGGUUACCGAAUUCAGACAAACUCCGAAUGCCAAUCAAUUUAACUUGGGAGUCAGAACGUGGGUGAUAAGGUCCAUGUUCGAAAGGGAAACAGCCCAGACCACCAGCUAAGGUCCCAAAAUAUAUGUUAAGUGGCAAAGGAUGUGGUAUUGCCCAGACAACUAGGAUGUUGGCUUAGAAGCAGCCAUCAUUUAAAGAGUGCGUAAUAGCUCACUAGUCGAGUGACACUGCGCCGAAAAUGUACCGGGGCUAAACAUAUUACCGAAGCUGUGGAUUGUCCGUAGGACAAUGGUAGGAGAGCGUUCUAAGUGCGUCGAAGCAUGAUCGCAAGGACAUGUGGAGCGCUUAGAAGUGAGAAUGCCGGUGUGAGUAGCGAAAGAUGGGUGAGAAUCCCAUCCACCGAUUGACUAAGGUUUCCAGAGGAAGGCUCGUCCGCUCUGGGUUAGUCGGGUCCUAAGUCGAGGCCGACAGGCGUAGACGAUGGAUAACAGGUUGAUAUUCCUGUACCACCAUUUAUCGUUUUAAGCGAUGGGGGGACACAGUAGGAUAGGCGAAGCGUGCUGUUGGAGUGCACGUCUAAGCAGUGAGACUGAAUGGUAGGCAAAUCCGCCAUUCUCAAGGUUGAGCUGUGAUGGGGAGAGGAAACAUGUUUUCCUCGAGUCGUUGAUUUCACACUGUCGAGAAAAGCCUCUAGCUAGAUAACUGGUGCCCGUACCGCAAACCGACACAGGUAGUCAAGAUGAGAAUUCUAAGGUGAGCGAGAGAACUCUCGUUAAGGAACUCGGCAAAAUGACCCCGUAACUUCGGGAGAAGGGGUGCUCUUUAGGGUUCACGCUCUGAAGAGCCGCAGUGAAUAGGCCCAAGCGACUGUUUAUCAAAAACACAGGUCUCUGCUAAACCGUAAGGUGAUGUAUAGGGGCUGACGCCUGCCCGGUGCUGGAAGGUUAAGAGGAGUGGUUAGCUUCUGCGAAGCUACGAAUCGAAGCCCCAGUAAACGGCGGCCGUAACUAUAACGGUCCUAAGGUAGCGAAAUUCCUUGUCGGGUAAGUUCCGACCCGCACGAAAGGCGUAACGAUUUGGGCACUGUCUCAACGAGAGACUCGGUGAAAUCAUAGUACCUGUGAAGAUGCAGGUUACCCGCGACAGGACGGAAAGACCCCGUGGAGCUUUACUGUAGCCUGAUAUUGAAAUUCGGCACAGCUUGUACAGGAUAGGUAGGAGCCUUAGAAGCGUGAGCGCCAGCUUACGUGGAGGCGCUGGUGGGAUACUACCCUAGCUGUGUUGGAUUUCUAACCCGCGCCAUUGAUCAUGGCGGGAGACAGUGUCAGGCGGGCAGUUUGACUGGGGCGGUCGCCUCCUAAAGUGUAACGGAGGCGCUCAAAGGUUCCCUCAGAAUGGUUGGAAAUCAUUCAUAGAGUGUAAAGGCAUAAGGGAGCUUGACUGCGAGACCUACAAGUCGAGCAGGGUCGAAAGACGGACUUAGUGAUCCGGUGGUUCCGCAUGGAAGGGCCAUCGCUCAACGGAUAAAAGCUACCCCGGGGAUAACAGGCUUAUCUCCCCCAAGAGUUCACAUCGACGGGGAGGUUUGGCACCUCGAUGUCGGCUCAUC